GACGGAGGGUGCAAGCAUUGAUCGGAAUUACUGGGCGUAAAGGGCGCGUAGGCGGUAUAGUAAGUCAGACGUGAAAUUCUGGGGCUCAACCCCAGAGCUGCGUUUGAAACUCCAUCCCUAGAGGGUAGGCGGAGAAAACGGAAUUCCACAAGUAGCGGUGAAAUGCGUAGAUAUGUGGAAGAACACCGGUGGCGAAAGCGGUUCUCUAGCUAAUAACUGACGCUGAGGCGCGAGAGCAAGGGGAUCAAACAGG
rnacentral:rRNA from 1 species